rnacentral:lncRNA from 1 species
ACCAGCCUGGGGAAGCUCAUUUGAUGACCCACAUCAUGCCUGGAGAGAAACUUUCCUACGCCAGAGUCUGGAAAAGCUGGAAGUAGACCUUCUGUCCAUCCCCUGGAGCUUGGCCUCUGAAGUCCCUGAGUGUCUUUAAUGUGCUGGUGUAUACAUUAGGGCAGGUAUGGUGACUUUAAAUCUGUGCCCAUUGCAAUUAAAAUGCUUGUGAGAUAAGAUCAG